GGUCAAUGAAGAGAAGUAAAAGGUGUGAAAGCACUAAAGUUCUCCCACGCCGCAGCAAGCUCCCAGCAUCCUCUCCUUUUCCCUUCAAGCACCAGUAAUGCUCUGAUAGGCUUGAGAGUAUGCUGACACGCUCGGAUGCACUCUAACCCGCAUUUACUUAAGAUUCACUAAGUGCUGGCUUUAAGAAGCAUCUUACAUAAUUAAUGAAUAAGGAGAUUGAGGUGUUUGGGUUGAACUAUGUGUGGUGCAUGAUCUUUAGUUUUCAAGCUGAGACC